AUUUUGGACAAUGGGGGAAACCCUGAUCCAGCCCUCCCGCGUGUAUGAUGAAUGCCUUCGGGUUGCCAAGUUCUUUUGGCAGAGCGGAAAAGGUAUCUCCUAAUACGAGAUACUGCUGACGGUAUCUGCAGAAUAAGCACAGGCUAACUACGUGCCAGCAGCCGCGGUAAUACGUAGGGUGCAAGCGUUAAGAGGAAUUACUGGGCGUAAAGCGUGUGUAGGCGGUUCGGAAAGAAAGAUGUGAAAUCCCAGGGCUCAACCUUGGAACUGCAUUUUUAACUGCCGAGCUAGAGUAUGUCAGAGGGGGGUAGAAUUCCACGUGUAGCAGUGAAAUGCGUAGAUAUGUGGAGGAAUACCGAAGGCGAAGGCAGCCCCCUGGGAUAAUACUGACGCUCAGACACGAAAGCGUGGGGAGCAAACA
rnacentral:rRNA from 1 species